rnacentral:rRNA from 1 species
UGGGGGGAACCCUGAUCCAGCCAUGCCGCGUGUGUGAAGAAGGCCUUUUGGUUGUAAAGCACUUUAAGCGAGGAGGAGGCGCUCUAGGUUAAUACCUUAGAAGCGUGGACGUUACUCGCAGAAUAAGCACCGGCUAACUCUGUGCCAGCAGCCGCGGUAAUACAGAGGGUGCGAGCGUUAAUCGGAUUUACUGGGCGUAAAGCGUACGUAGGCGGCUUUUUAAGUCGGAUGUGAAAUCCCCGAGCUUAACUUGGGAAUUGCAUUCGAUACUGGGAAGCUAGAGUAUGGGAGAGGAUGGUAGAAUUCCAGGUGUAGCGGUGAAAUGCGUAGAGAUCUGGAGGAAUACCGAUGGCGAAGGCAGCCAUCUGGCCUAAUACUGACGCUGAGGUACGAAAGCAUGGGGAGCAAACAGGAUUAGAUACCCUGGUAGUCCAUGCCGUAAACGAUGUCUACUAGCCGUUGGGGCCUUUGAGGCUUUAGUGGCGCAGCUAACGCGAUAAGUAGACCGCCUGGGGAGUACGGUCGCAAGACU